AGCUACAUCCGUCACCUGACACGGCCCUACCAGGAACAGCCGCGCUCCCGCGGAUUCUGGUGCUGCUCGCGUCCCCGCUCCCCUAUUCCCCUUAUUUUAUUCCUGGCUCCCCUCGUCGAAAGUCUUCCAUUCUUCAAACUAGAUUAUUUAAAAAUGAAAAAGGAAGAAAGGAAAGCGAGGUCAUCUCAUUGCUCUAUCCGCCAAUCAGGAGGCUGAAUGUCAGUUUUGAACUAAAAGCCGCUCCGCUCCUCUUCUAGAUUUGGAAAACAAGCGAAAUUAAACUAAACCGCUGCACGCCUCUGACGCGACAUCUGGACACGGCGCGGCGCUGGCGCUGCCGGAGCUGUCGACCCGGCCUGGCGCCGGACUAGUGUCCCUUUUGAUGAGAAGAAUAAGCCUCAUUCUGAUUCAACAGCAGAGAUCAAAGAAAAGACUUCUGUUUUCUGGCCACCAGAUAUAUGUUAUCUGUGCUUAAAGAAUUGAAAAACACACAUCAAAGGAGAAUUUUCUUGGAAAGAGAGGGUUCAAGCAUCACUGUUAGGUGUGCUGGAAUCCUUUCCCGAGUCAGUACUGCUUUCUAGAAGAAAACCGGGGAGAUCUAUUUGGAAUGUAUCUAACUCCAAAGAAACCAUCAGAGGUAACAGUAGAGACGGGGUUUCACCAUGUUGGCCAGACUGGUCUUGAACUCUCGACCUCGUGAUUCGCCCGCCUCGGCCUCCCAAAGUGCUGGGAUUACAGGUGUGAGACACCACACCCGGCGGAUAGAGAGAAUUUUGACAGAUAUGACACAUUCAUAAUUUAAACAGAAGCCUACGAAGAACUCAUAAAUUAAAAGAAGAUAAUCUUUUCACAAGGUGAUGGAGGCUUUUUAUUUUGCCACAAAACCACUGGUGACGUUGCCUGUGGCCACCUUGGAGAAGACACUGGAGACAGGGUCUCACUCUGUCACCCAGGCUGGAGUGUAUUGGCAUGAUUACAGCUCACUGCAACCUUGAACUCCCAGGCUCAAACCUGAGCAGCUGGGACUACAGAUGCACCACCAUGCAUGGAUGAUUACGGAGCUAGGAAUUUCCUACGAAGCUGGGUGAUAAAAGGACAUUGGACAAAAACACAGAUAGCUUCAUUCUAUACCAGGAUCCAUCACUGAUUAGCUGUAUUAUAUUUGUCUCUACUGUAAUUUGAGGAGAAUGAUACCUGCUUCUCUAUCUUGUUGGGUUUUACAGAUGAUGUAUUGAAAGUUCAAUAAAAUCUAUAAACAAU
rnacentral:lncRNA from 1 species